UGUAACACCCUCGAUGCGACUAUAUCUCCCACGUGUCGAGGCACGACUUAGAGGCAUAAUCGCAUUGAAGGCAAUGUCGCAAGUGAGGUAAUCUUCACACAACCCAUGUAAUACAAUAGGGGAAAAAGUUACAUAGUUGGCUUACAAUCGCCACUUCACACAAUUACAUGAAUAAAGCAUUACAUCAUUCAAAUACACUCAAGGUCCGACUACGGAACCAAAAUAAAAGAAGAACCCCAAAUGCGACAAAGGUCCCCGAUCGACCCCAACUGGGCACCACUACUGAUCAACUAGAACGAAACAACAUAAAGGACAAGAUCUUCAACGAGCUCCUCCUGAGCUUGGUUGCGUCAUCUGCACGGACUCAUCGGCACCUGCAAACUGGUUUUGGAAGUAAUCUGUGAGCCAUGGGGACUCAGCAAUCUCGCACCCUCGCGAUCAAGACUAUUUAAGCUUAUGGGUAAGGUAAAGGUAUGAGGUGGAGCUGCAGCAAGCGACUAGCAUAUAUGGUGGCUAACAUACGCAAAUGAGAGCGAGAAGAGAAGGCAAGGCACGGUCGAUAAAGUAUGAUCAAGAAGUGAUCAUGGACUACCUACGUCAAGCAUAACUCCAACAACCGUGUUCACUUCCCGGACUCCGCCGGAAAGAGACCAUCACGGUUACACACGCGGUUGAUUCAUUUUAAUUAAGGUCGACUUCAGGUUUUCUACAACCGGACGUUAACAAAUUCCCAUCUGCCCAUAACCGCGAGCACGGCUUUCGAAAGAUCAAAUCCCUGCAGGGGUGUCCCAACUUAGCCCAUUACAAGCUCUCACGGACAACGAAGGAAUAGACCUCCACCCGAGACAUUCCGAUCAGACUCGGUAUCCCAGUACAACAAGACAUUUCGACAGGGUAAAACUAAACCAGCAACACCACCCGAAUGUGCCAACAAAUCCCGAUAGGAGCUGCACAUAUCUCUUUCUCAGGGCACACCGGAUCGUCCAAACUUCCGGUAGGCCAGCCCAGAGUUGCCCCUGGUGGCCACCGGCGGCUGACAGUUUGGACCAACACUCAGAGGAGCACUGGCCCGGGGGGGGGGGGUAAAUAAUGAUGACCCUUGAGUCUGCAGUACCCAAGGGAAAGAAAAAGGCUAGGUGGCAAAUGGUAAAACCAAUGUUGGGCAUUGCUGGAGAAGCUUUACUUAAGGCGAACUUGUAACACCCUCGAUGCGACUAUAUCUCCCACGUGUCGAGGCACGAUUUUGAGGCAUAAUCGCAUUGAAGGCAUAUGUCACAAGUGAGGUAAUCUUCACACAACCCAUGUAAUAUAACAAGGGAAAGAGAUACAUAGUUGGCUUACAACCGCCACUUCACACAAUUACAUGAAUAAAGCAUUACAUCAAUCAAGUACACUCAUGGUCCGACUACGGAACCAAAAUAAAAGAAGAACCCCAAAUGCGACAACGGUCCCCGAUCGACCCCAACUGGGCUCCACUACUGAUCAACUAGCACGAAACAAC
rnacentral:lncRNA from 1 species